rnacentral:sRNA from 1 species
UGUGCUGCUUGUAGCUGGAGGUCCAUCCUUGUCUGAUUGCCUGUCGUUGCCCCUCCCAGAUCAUGGAGGAGUUGGCAGAUGCUCUAAUGUACUGCCAUGGGAAGAAGGUGAUUCACAGAGACAUAAAGCCAGAAAAUCUGCUCUUAGGGCUCAAGGGAGAGCUGAAGAUUGCUGACUUCGGCUGGUCUGUGCAUGCUCCCUCCCUGAGGAGGAAGACAAUGUGUGGCACCCUGGACUACCUGCCCCCAGAGAUGAUUGAGGGGCGCACGCACAAUGAGAAGGUGGAUCUGUGGUGCAUUGGAGUGCUUUGCUAUGAGCUGCUGGUGGGGAACCCACCCUUUGAGAGUGCAUCACACAAUGAGACCUAUCGCCGCAUCGUCAAGGUGGACCUAAAGUUCCCCGCUUCUGUGCCCACGGGAGCCCAGGACCUCAUCUCCAAACUGCUCAGGCAUAACCCCUCGGAACGG